AUUGACAAACCCAUAUUUUUAAAAAUAAAAAUUUACUUUGUUUGAAGAACCUCCAAUAAAAAUACCUGACAUUUAAUGUCAGAUUUUAACAUGGAACUAGACACUAGGCAAUUAUCCCAAAUACUUGAUGUCAGGUUCAAAACCAGACAGGUGGCAACCCUAUUUGGCAUAGAGCUAUAUUCAAAAACCAGGGUUUCCCAAUUUGCUUCCAUCCUUUAUGAAUGCCAUGGAUGUACACAGACUCCCUCUGUCAGAUUCUUCUUCUUAUUGCUUGAAUGGCCCAAUCAGUGGUAUAUGGGGUGGCAUC
rnacentral:lncRNA from 1 species